GACGGGACCCGCACAAGCGGUGGAUGAUGUGGUUUAAUUCGAUGCAACGCGAAAAACCUUACCCACCUUUGACAUGUACGGAAUCCUUUAGAGAUAGAGGAGUGCUCGAAAGAGAGCCGUAACACAGGUGCUGCAUGGCUGUCGUCAGCUCGUGUCGUGAGAUGUUGGGUUAAGUCCCGCAACGAGCGCAACCCUUGUCAUUAGUUGCUACGAAAGGGCACUCUAAUGAGACUGCCGGUGACAAACCGGAGGAAGGUGGGGAUGACGUCAAGUCCUCAUGGCCCUUAUAGGUGGGGCUACACACGUCAUACAAUGGCUGGUACAAAGGGUUGCCAACCCGCGAGGGGGAGCCAAUCCCAUAAAGCCAGUCGUAGUCCGGAUCGCAGUCUGCAACUCGACUGCGUGAAGUCGGAAUCGCUAGUAACCGUGGAUCAGCAUGUCACGGUGAAUACGUUCCCGGGUCUU
rnacentral:rRNA from 1 species